AUUGAACGCUGGCGGCAGGCCUAACACAUGCAAGUCGAGCGAGCGGCGGACGGGUGAGUAAUGUAUGGGGAUCUGCCCGAUGGAGGGGGAUAACUACUGGAAACGGUAGCUAAUACCGCAUACUAUCGGAUGUACCCAUAUGGGAUUAGCUAGUAGGUGGGGUAAAGGCUCACCUAGGCGACGAUCCCUAGCUGGUCUGAGAGGAUGAUCAGCCACACGGGAACUGAGACACGGUCCAGACUCCUACGGGAGGCAGCAGUGGGGAAUAUUGCACAAUGGGCGCAAGCCUGAUGCAGCCAUGCCGCGUGUGUGAAGAAGGCCUUAGGGUUGUAAAGUACUUUCAGCGGGGAGGCGUUACCCGCAGAAGAAGCACCGGCUAACUCCGUGCCAGCAGCCGCGGUAAUAC
rnacentral:rRNA from 1 species